rnacentral:rRNA from 1 species
CCUACGGGAGGCAGCAGUGGGGAAUAUUGGGCAAUGGGCGCAAGCCUGACCCAGCAACGCCGCGUGAAGGAAGAAGGCUUUCGGGUUGUAAACUUCUUUUCUCAGGGACGAAGCAAGUGACGGUACCUGAGGAAUAAGCCACGGCUAACUACGUGCCAGCAGCCGCGGUAAUACGUAGGUGGCAAGCGUUAUCCGGAUUUACUGGGUGGAAAGGGCGUGUAGGCGGGAAAGCAAGUCAGAUGUGAAAACCAUGGGCUCAACCUGUGGCCUGCAUUUGAAACUGUUUUUCUUGAGUACUGGAGAGGCAGACGGAAUUCCUAGUGUAGCGGUGAAAUGCGGAGAUAUUAGGAGGAACACCAGUGGCGAAGGCGGUCUGCUGGACAGCAACUGACGGUGAGGCGCGAAAGCGUGGGGAGCAAACAGGAUUAGAUACCCUAGUAGUC